rnacentral:rRNA from 1 species
AUUGAACGCUGGCGGCAGGCCUAAUACAUGCAAGUCGAGCGGACGAAGGGAGCUCGCUCUUGGAUUCAGUGGCGGACGGGCGAGUAGUGCCCAGGAAUCUGACCGGUAGUGGGGGAUAACGUCAGGAAACGGGCGCUAAUAUCGUAUACGAUCUGAGGGAGAAAGUGGGGGAUCUUUGGACCACACGCUAUCUGAUGUCACUAGGACGGAUUUGCUAGUUGGUAGGGUAAAGGCCUACCAAGGCGACGAUCCGUAACUGGUCUGAGAGGAUGAUCAGUCACACUGGAACUGAGACACGGUCCAGACUCCUACGGGAGGCAGCAGUAGGGAAUAUUGGGCAAUGGGCGAAAGCCUGAUCCAGCCAUGCCGCGUGUGUGAAGAAGGUCUUCGGAUUGUAAAGCACUUUUAGUUGGGAGGAAGGGCAGUAUGUGAAUACCUUGCUGUUUUGACGUUACCAACAGAGUAAGCACCGGCUAACUUCGUG